rnacentral:rRNA from 1 species
AGUGAACGCUGGCGGUAGGCCUAACACAUGCAAGUCGAACGGCAGCACAGUAGGAGCUGGCUCUUGCGGGUGGCGAGUGGCGGACGGUUGAGGAAUACAUCGAAAUCUACUGGUUCGUGGGGGGUAACGUAGGGAAACCUACGCGAAGACCGCAUACGACGUACGAGUGAAAGCAGGGGAUGGUCGAACCAUGUGCUGUUGAAUGAGCCGAUGUCGGAUUAGCUAGUUGGCGGGGUAAAGGCCCACCAAGGCUACGAUCCGUAGCUGGUAUGAGAGGGUGAUUCGCCAGCCUGUAACUGAGGCACGGUCCACACUCCGACGGGAGGACGCAGUGGGGACUAUUGGACAAUGGGCGCAAGCCUGAUCCAGCCCUACCGCGUGAGUGCAGAACGACUUCGGCUUGUAAAGCCAUUUUGUUGGGAAAGAAAAGCAGCAGGUUCAUACCCCGCUGUUCUGACGGUACCCACAGAAUAAGCACCGGCUAACUUCGUG